GACGAACGCUGGCGGCGUGCUUGACACAUGCAAGUCGAACGAAGUGGCGAACGGGUGAGUAACACGAGGGUGAUCUGCCUUGCACUCUGGGAUGAGCUUGGGAAACUGGGUCUAAUACCGGAUAGUGCAAGAUGAGCUCGCGGACUAUCAACUUGUUGUUGGGGUAAUGGCCUACCAAGGCGUCGACGGGUAGCCGGCCUGCGAUGGUGUACGGCUACAUUAGGACGGAGAUACGGCCCAGACUCCUACGGGAGUCAUCAGUGCGGAAUAUUGCACAAUGGGCGGAAGUCUGAUCCAGCGACGCCGCGUGGGGGCUGACGGCCUUCGGGUUAUAACCUCCUUUCGACAGGGACGCGGUGCCUGUAUACGAAGCACCGGCUAACUACGUGCAAGCAGCCGCGGUAAUAC
rnacentral:rRNA from 1 species